rnacentral:rRNA from 1 species
UACGUAGGGUGCGAGCGUUGUCCGGAAUUAUUGGGCGUAAAGAGCUCGUAGGCGGCUUGUCGCGUCGUCCGUGAAAACUUGGGGCUCAACCCCAAGCUUGCGGUCGAUACGGGCAGGCUCGAGUUCGGUAGGGGAGACUGGAAUUCCUGGUGUAGCGGUGAAAUGCGCAGAUAUCAGGAGGAACACCGGUGGCGAAGGCGGGUCUCUGGACCGAUACUGACGCUGAGGAGCGAAAGCGUGGGGAGCGAACAGG